CCUCCCAACGGCGAGCGUCGGUGGGCCUCAGAGGCGGAUCCUGAUACGCACCGUCCCCUCCUCUUCCUCCUCCAGCACACUUCCUCCCGGACUGUGGGGACUUCUCGGGUUUGGCUCGCUGAUCUGCCUGUAUUUUGUGUGACUUUGUUUUAAUCAACAAAAAUUCCUUUACAGAUUUUCCUUCCAAAUAAAAAAACAGGAUUGAAAGAGAAGCCAUUACCAAUUCCCCUCUGUUUUCUUUUUUCUUAUACUAAAAGAGGAAUUGGGAACGAGGCUUGCGCUUGGCUUAGGCAUUGCCUGUGACAGCCUCACGCUUCAAGGCCUUUUCCCUCCUCGUCCACUUUCCUGAGGCUUUAAAUAGCCGUUUCGUGAAGGCCUCAGUCUUUUCUUCUCCAUGGGCUCCUCUCGCCGCUGGGAUGCUGCCUGGGCUCUGUGCCGUGGCCGCCGGGCCCGCGCUCGAGAUUCCGCCCCCGGCUGACGCUCGCUGGGUUGAUCGGGAAGGGAAAACGUGAGGAGUAGAACGAGGAGCUUUUCGGCAGCGUAGGCCUCUGGAGCCCGGCUUUCCCCCCCCACGCUCAGUUACCCCCCGGACCGUGCAAGUGACUAGACCGCAGGACUUGGGACGGACGCACGCACGCAACAGCGGGCACGCGUAGGGAUUUUAAGCAACAGAUUCUACUUCAACACAGGAAAGAGUCCUCAUCUUGUUUGUGGUGCAGUGUUGCAGAUGUUUCAGAUUCAAGAAACCAAGGGUUUUUCUACGUGGAUCACUGCUCAAAUUGGGUGGCAAGCAAACAUUUGGAUUUUUUUUUCUUUUAUUCAAUCUGUUUUUGUAUUGAAGUAAUUAAAGUUUUUUUUAUAAAACC